CCUUGGUGUGGGGGUGGUACCUGUAGUCCCAGCUCCUUGAGAGGCUGAGGCAGGAAGACCACCUGAGCCCAGGAGUGCUGGGCUACAGAGCGCUGUGCCGAUUGGGUGUCCACAUGAAUUCCAGCAUUAAGAUGGUGCCCUCUGGGGAGCAGGUGACCACCGUGUUGUCUAAGGAGGGGUGAACCAGCCCACACUGGAAACAGAGCAGGUCAAAACUCCCAUGCUAAUCAGUAGGGGGAAUGUGCCUGUGAAUCGUCACUGCACUCCAGCCUGGGCAACUCAGUGCGACCCCUCCUAU
rnacentral:SRP_RNA from 1 species